rnacentral:rRNA from 1 species
GAGGGAGCCGUGUCCGCAGCCGCAGCAAUUCCCGCUCCAGGGGUGGGGACGAGG